AUGGUUUCCACUAUGAUAACCACAAAUUUGACUUUGAAAUCUGAAGCACUAACUGUUUGCCAGAGAGCAAGAGGAGAAGUUGGUGUGGUCCAUACAGGUCAGCCUCUUUGCAGGGGCUGGAAGAAUGAAUGGAGGAUGCAGAGAAGCCAGCAAACAAGGUACCUGCCACACGUACUGUUUACAACAGCUGCGCCUAAUUUAAAGCAACAAAACUUCAAAGAAAGGAAAGAACAUCUUCUGGAAACAUCAGGAUGAUCUGACUCCAGGCACUGACACCAUCAUCCAUCAGAAGUCAUGACCUGUGAUUUGAGGGUAUGAAUUAGAUCGUAGAUUCUCAAGAGAAUUGAUGCCCUUUGGCAACUGUAAAAUGAAGAACUCUGUAUCAUUUUGUUGAGGAUGAGUGAUGUAGUUUUUUGUUUUUGUUUUUUAAUACGAUGGCUUUAAGUGAAGACAGGGCCACACAAAUUGCAUGACUAACUCCUCUCAAAAGUUAGAUAUCUUUUGCAGCCUACUCACUGAAGUCAUUUACAGUUCUUAAUACCAGCAAAGUGGAUAUAAUUGCACAGUGGGAUUUAUUCUAGAUGAAUCAGGAUAUGGGGGAGAAAAAUGGACACAUUAAGAAGAAAAAUUAAAUUGAGCACUUAAAAUAAUUGACCAAAGAAAAUGGUCAAUGUAUGUUUUAUCUUUUCUUCCUUUAAAAAUACAUGUUGUAUGGAAAUUGUGAUGAGGGGAAAAAAAAAAAAAAAAAAGAAAAAACCCACACACAAUUAAAAGGGACAGGUACCUGACUGGGUUUUCCCAUCUCUUCCCCCAAAUGUCCAGCUCACAGGAACUCCUAUGGUCCACCUCUGUGUAGAGAUGAAAAUCUUUCCUUUCCAGAGUCAAAGUCAGCUCUCUGAAUGUUUAUAGCCUAAAAUUAGUGUCUGUGAAGCUGGUAAGACUGUUGCUUUGAACAUUGGUGUUUUAGGCAGUUUCCAGGUAACACUGAAAUGACCGUUUCUUAGCACUUGCCAGACCUAUGAACAAUUGUUAAAAUCUAAAUUAAACCCAUAUUAAACUGACUUUUUUUUUUGACAUCAAAGUGAUGCCAAGAUACCUGAUAUGAUACCCAGAGUGAGUAUGGAAAAGAGGGACUCUCACUAUGCUUUUGGGAAAAGUGUAAAUUGACACAACUUUUUCAAACAAACUUGAUAAAAUGUACUUCCAAGUCUUAAAGCAGUCAUUUAUUUAAUCAAGAGUAUUUAUUGAGUGUCUUCUAUAUCAUGGGCUGGCAAUUAUAUUCUAUCAGUGAGUGAAUAGACAUUACACAGAUAAUUACAAGUGCAAUGACCCCCAUGAAAGGAAAGUCAAAAGGACCUGAGAGAGAGGCAUCAGUCCUGCGAAAGUAAUUAGUCUACAGGGAGUUCCCGUCGUGGCGCAGUGGUUAACGAAUCCGACUAGGAACCAUGAGGUUGCGGGUUCGGUCCCUGCCCUUGCUCAGUGGGUUAAUGAUCCGGUGUUGCCAUGAGCUGUGGUGUAGGUUGCAUACGAGGCUCGUAUCCCGCGUGGCUGUGGCUCUGGCAUAGGCUGGUGGCUACAGCUCCGAUUCGACCCCUAGCCUGGGAACCUCCAUAUGCCGCGGGAGCGGCCCAAGAAAUAGCAACGACAACAACAA
rnacentral:lncRNA from 1 species